GAUUUUUGAGGGAACAAUAAGGAUAUACAAUACACAUGGGGAUGAUGAUUAUAUACCAUUGGUAUAAUAAUCCUGUGCAUAAUGCACACAAAAAGGCAGUUGUUCAUUAUACAUGGCAAAACAUGGUAAUAACAUUCAAUUUAAUUUUAUUCUAUUCUAUUGCUAGCUCUUCCUCAUUAAACACACUAAGUCAGGCAUACUGCACCAUUAUUAUGUUUUUAGAAUUUCAGAAACAGGACAGAACAUAAGUAUUAUUGUUUACAUGAACUCAGGGGCAGUUAAGCUUAUUGAUAAUAUUUAUGUUACAGUCUGUUCUUGUAUCUCAAGGUAACUCUUGGGGAAAUAUAGAUUUUUCAGCUAAAGCAUUUUCUUCUGGAAGGGCUGCUUGUUCUUUCCUGCUUCCUAUUACUGUUCUACAUGACAAGUGUUUUGGUAAUGAGAGUGGAAUUCUAUGUAAAUCAACCAACCAAUUCAUAAACAUUCAAAUAAGCCAUAACUUGUUUCACUGCAUUUCAGCCUUCUGAUCACUUCAGCAAAGCUUUACUCUAAACCCCAAGGCCUACUCUGUCAGGACAAUGGAUGCUCUGGGGCAGACCAAGUGCUUAAGGUCAGGAGGCUCUCUGGGAUCCAGGAUCUAAGAAGGUUCAAUUCUACCUCCAGAAAACGAAUGCAAUACUGUGAAUGGAAAACACCAUUCUCCUAACCAUCAAUGAGCCUAAAUUUCUUCCUUAAAAGAUUUGCUUACUGUCUUUCAACUAAGACUUUUAUAUUCAAUGAACUUGUGGCGCUUAUAAAAGCAUGUUUUUUGUUUGUUUUCUUUUAGCAGCAAAAUUUUAUUGUUCACCUUGCAGCCUGAACCUGCAGAGAGGGAAUGGGCUUGUUCCUACAACUGCAAUUAUGUUGAAUUCUUAAGUGGUAUGUUAGGACAUAUUUUUUUUAUGUGAAAUUCAUAAUAUAGCUCUUCAUAGGGACUUUGGUAACGGCCAAAAAGACUCAUGCUAGUGAGAUGUCACAAAAAUUAAAUGCAAAAUUUUUAAUGAUUGUUUACAUUACAUAUGCAGAAGGCUCUUGGCAUUAGGACAAAGAUAAUAGAGAAAAUGUAGAAUUACAAAGCUCAUUUCAGGCAUAAUAAUUGUUAGAUUGUUUUGAGCUCCUCUCAUAUAUCAGCUUUCUGAUAGGCACCAGGAAGGUGGAGAUGAAGAAGGCGUGGCCAAUUUUUGGAGGCACUUCACAUUUAUUCACUUUAGGGUUAAGUAGAAAUUCAUCUGGAAGAUUAAAUAAGUGAGGGGGAAAGGGAAACCCCUGUGAAACCAUACAGAGGGGUUAGCCAGUGAGCAGGAGUACUGGGGGAGAUGGCCGUCAUUCCCUGAGGCUGUGAUGAAGAAAGCCUGUGGUAGGUCAUGGGGAGAUGCGACCAGAACCAGUUGCUAAAAGGCCUAGUAGAGCCAUGUAGAAAAAUUUGGACUUUAUCCAGAAAAUAAGGGUGAACCAUUGAAAGAAUUUUUAAGCAAGGAAGUGACAAACGAUAAAGAAUUUAAACCAUUUUUUUCUGCAACUAUGCCAAGUGCUAGAAAAAGUGAUUUCUCUACUGGUCCAAAUAAAAUGGAAACAGAUGCAAAAACAGGUGCUUCUUUUCUGCUUAAGAGUGUAUAUUGGUAAACUUUGAAUGGUGGUCCAUAGCUGUAGGACCCAGAAUGUUUCAUGCUUCAUUUCUACUCAAUGGAACUUAUAUAGCACUAAUAAAAGACAAGGUCUUUGGCAUACCCAUAAAUAUUAUCUUUUAUUUUCCUAUGGUGAGGAAUUGGCCUGAGAAUGUUUCAUGUAAUGGUCCUUCGAAAAGUUUCAAAGUGCUUUUGCUUUUCAAGCCCACCUAACCAGAUGUGGCUCUGAUGAGAAGCUGUCACAGUAGUGGUAGCGUACAUGCCUGGGGCACAGUGUCUGUAGAUAGUCUUUCACAGUGAAACCUACUUCAGAAUGAACCAAUCAGCUCUGCAAAAGAUUAUUGUGGGUAAUCUUCAAAUCUCAAUAAGCUAACAAACAAAAACCAAAAAUAAAUCCACCCCCAAAACCAAGCUCAGUUAAAGAUACAGUACCAUUUCCAGAAAAGUCUGUGAAGUUGUCAAGCCUUCUAAAAUGAGCACAAGCAUACUGUCUUCAGAAACCAGGAAGUUUUUUUAAGAAUCCUGAUUAUGCAUGCAUGUGUGUUAUGUGACAGCUAGCUAACUCCAUUGCUAUGUCUGUCCCUUAUAGGGAGGAGAUGGGGUCCUUUGUUCUGUGGCUCAGCUGGGGGCUGGUAGCACAGCAUGGGGCCACUGGCCAUGGGGGACUGACACUUACUACUGGGGCUAAUCUUGCUCUGUUUCUUCUUUAUGUGACUCAAGGGCUGUUCCAUCCGGGGCUUGGCCACAUUGGCUUUUCCUUGGCAGCUGCGAUACCAAGAUAUGGUGGGCAGCAGUGUUCAGACUUCUACUCCUCAUAAUAGGCAACAUGUGCUAAUUGCUCAAUGCAGAUUAUGUGCUAAAGUUUUUGGAAACCUUUUGUAGACAAUAAAAAUGGCUUUAUUCAAAACAAAGUAAGAUUA